AACGAACGCUGGCGGCAUGCCUAACACAUGCAAGUCGAACGAGACCUUCGGGUCUAGUGGCGCACGGGUGCGUAACGCGUGGGAACCUGCCCUUAGGUUCGGAAUAACUCCCCGAAAGGGGUGCUAAUACCGGAUAAUGUCUUCGGACCAAAGAUUUAUCGCCUUUGGAUGGGCCCGCGUUGGUUUAGCUAGUUGGUAGGGUAAAAGCCUACCAAGGCGACGAUCCAUAGCUGGUCUGAGAGGAUGGUCAGCCACACUGGGACUGAGACACGGCCCAGACUCCUACGGGAGGCAGCAGUGGGGAAUAUUGGACAAUGGGCGAAAGCCUGAUCCAGCAAUGCCGCGUGAGUGAUGAAGGCCUUAGGGUUGUAAAGCUCUUUUACCCGGGAUGAUAAUGACAGUACCGGGAGAAUAAGCUCCGGCUAACUCCGUG
rnacentral:rRNA from 1 species